ACCACGCAUGGAGUGUUCAGUUCCGGCUUAGGUUCCUCGGGGGGACGCGGACGGGGUGGGUCCGGGUCAGUGCGAUGCGGACGCGUGGGG
rnacentral:tRNA from 1 species